rnacentral:rRNA from 1 species
UUGGAGGGCAAGUCUGGUGCCAGCAGCCGCGGUAAUUCCAGCUCCAAUAGCGUAUAUUAAAGUUGUUGCAGUUAAAAACGCUCGUAGUUGAACCUUGGGUCUGGCUGGCCGGUCCGCCUCACCGCGAGUACUGGUCCGGCUGGACCUUUCCUUCUGGGGAACCCUCAUGGCCUUCACUGGCUGUGGGGGGAACCAGGACUUUUACUGUGAAAAAACUUAGAGUGUUCAAAGCAGGCCUUUGCUCGAAUACAUUAGCAUGGAAUAAUAGAAUAGGA